GGUACUUAAAGGGAGAUCGACCGUGUUAUAUUCGUUUUCUUGACUUCGAAUAAUACAUGGUUGAUCUUUUCUCAGUAUC
rnacentral:pre_miRNA from 1 species